UGACUUUGUAUAGGGGCCUUUCCCAAU
rnacentral:sRNA from 1 species